GACGAACGCUGGCGGCGUGCUUAACACAUGCAAGUCGAACGGAAAGGCCCUGCUUGCAGGGUACUCGAGUGGCGAACGGGUGAGUAACACGUGGGUGAUCUGCCCUGCACUUCGGGAUAAGCCUGGGAAACUGGGUCUAAUACCGGACAGGAGCCAUUUUUAGUGUGAUGGUUGGAAAGUUUUUUCGGUGUAGGGUGAGCUCGCGGCCUAUCAGCUUGUUGGUGGGGUAAUGGCCUACCAAGGCGGCGACGGGUAGCCGGCCUGAGAGGGUGGACGGCCACAUUGGGACUUAGGUGCGGCCCAGACUCCUACGGUAGGCAGCAGGGGGGAAGACUGCACAAUGGGCGCAAGCCUGAUGCAGCGACGCCGCGUGGGGGAUGACGGCCUUCGGGUUGUAAACUCCUUUCGCUAGGGACGAAGCUUUUUGUGACGGUACCUAGAUAAGAAGCACCGGCUAACUACGUG
rnacentral:rRNA from 1 species